GUGACGUGCGCGCUCUGAAGUCGCCUCCGGGGUUUCUCCCCGCCUGUGGUUCUCCGUGCGCCGCGAGCGGGGGACUCCCGCAGCAACGCCGUCGCUGGUCUUCAACUCCCGGGAACCUGGCCGGUGUCCACGAAGGGGGAGGCCCCAGCCGAGGGCCCCGCGGCGGCACCUUCCCUCCCCGGCGCCCGACUCAGCGCAGGGCCCCGGCGUGGGUCGCAUCAGAAAAAAGACCCUGCUCACUUAAAGGGUAGGAAGGCGCACGAGGUCUCCUUUGCGGGCAUUGACAUGUUUUAGAACUAGGUAGUGGUGAUGGCUGCCAGCCAUGAUGAACGGACGAACGACACUGAAUUGUAUCGUUUCAGUGGUGAAUUUUACCACCGAACAAAACCAAAAACGCACAACUUAUGGCCUCCAGACACACGGAAACAUCUAGAAAUAAGGUAGUGGCCUUGGCCAGCAAAAAGGGGACAGUGCUGGGAAGGCUGACUGUUGACUCCAUCCCUGCUGCUACGUGGGUGACCCGAGGCCAGUCUAUUUAUCUGCCAAAGGAGGGUCAAGAGGAAACCGACAAUGUGUCAUAGAACAGGGGCUUUGCCGAAUAUCUGACAAGCAGCAUUUUUAGCGUCCAGAGAGGGGACUGCUGUCCUCGUUUUGCAAAAAAGAAAACGGAGGCUAGAGGGAAGAUUCCUUACCCCAGGUCGCACGCACAGCACAUCUGGCACGUCCACUCCAGGGAUCAUCGGGAGCAAUGGGAACCACCCGAGGACAGAACAAGCGGAAAAACAGCAGGCUUUGCGGUCACGUCAUCCGAACUGCUUACCCCGCCUUGGACUCGCUUGCGACACAGUGCAUCAGUCAUUCCUUAAUGUGGAGCUGGGAUUCCCGGAUCCAAACUCGAUACCCCCGGGAGACGCAGCAAGGCCUCCCACCUCUGACAGAAGUGCCAUGAAGUCGGUGCUGGCUGCAGGUGGCCGUGGACCCCCCAAUUCAGCGAGGUUUCACCAAGCCCCUGGCCGAGCACGUGCUCAGGUUUCCCAGCGGUGAACCCCAGCAGCAACCCUGCAGGAGAUGGUUCUUGCAGCAAAGAGGAGGAGGUUCAGCUGCAGCAGUGUACCCCGCUUCCCUCAGGUAAAAUCAGAUUGCCGCCUGCCUUCGAUAGUGAUUCCCCGGGAGUGUCAGACCUCACUCCUCCAGGGUUGGGGACAGGGCAGAAGUGCUGGCUGGGGGCCACCUCAGCCCCGCCCGUGUCCAGAGAUUUGAUGAGCAAGGUCUCAAUUCCUGGGAAGGCAGCCAGCCACCUGCAGACGUCACUGAGCCAGUCCCGAAAGUACUCGCCGGUGCUUCUGGCAUGAAAACGCUUUCAUUUAUUUUAAACGUUGCUGCUUUUACAGGACUUUCACGCACUCGGGUUUUUUUUCCUCCUAAUUUAAUUCGGACAACAGGCCCGCGAGGUGCGCAGAGAUGAGAGCGGACAGAGGGAGCCUCAGUGGCAUGGCCCUGACUAGGAAGUGGCCGACCCGCCCCCGGCUGCCAGCUCGGAAGGGGUGACACCUUCGCCCUGACAGGCCAGGAAGGGUGACUCACUCUGGUCCUCGGGCAGCUCAGGGGAUUCCCACUCAAGUUCCUUCCUGUCAAAAAGAAAGCAAAACUUCGUCCUCAGAGGCAGCUACCAUGGGGAGGGGCUGGAAGUCACCUGGGACAGCUCCAAGCAGACAUGGGAGGGAGCCGGGGCUAUGUCCGGGGGCAGCAAAGGGCAUGGAGGGUUCAGGCCUGGAGUCCUGUCCUGGGCUUCAGUGCCUCCCAUAGAGAGGCAUGGGCCUGGCCACAGGUCAGGGCAAUGCCAUGUGGACGCCCGCUGCUUAUGGCUCAGCAGGAGAGGACCUGUCCUGGGCCUGCAGACCACGGGGAUGGGACCCUGCCAAAGCCACCUGCCAUGGCCAGAGUUUCUUGAAGGCAAGCAGCUCGUCGCUCCCGAGCCAAUGACAGCCUGUGCCGCCCCCUUUGUCUUCCUCUCUCCCCUUGGCAUCCGUGCCCCGGAACACCUCUGAACACUGGCGGCACCUCUGCUCCCCACAGGCGUGGCCCUCAUAAGGCUCUCAGCACAGGCCUCUGCUCACUUGGGCCCCUGGGAGGACAGACAUCAGCUCACACACAGGCCUGGAGGCAGGAAGGCCGACCUGAGCUCCCACUCGGGACCUGGACAUAGGACGCCCCUCACCUGCCAGAUAUUUGAAGGUCAGCCUUGAGCUGCAGCUUCUGAACAAAGUGGGUUUCACUCUCGCUCCGCUGCCACCAUCUGAGGGACACGUCCCAGAAAGAUCGGUGCGGUCCCUCCCGCAGAGUAACCCCAAGGGAAGGAGAAAGACACUGCUGGGGGCUCUGCCCCCAACAGCACCAGCGCUCUGAGAUCAGAAGGCCGCAGAGCCCAGGGACCCCGCCAGCAGCGUGAGCCCACCGAGAGGAAAGCCGGGGUGCCAGGGUGUGGAGUGCGGGUCCAGGUCAGCGGCGGUGGGAGGCGGGGCGCCCAGCUGGCUCCCGGCAGACGAGAAGGAGGGGCAGUAAUAACAGUGGGGGGGGCAGGUUCACUUGUCACCGACUGGCACUGCUAGAGCCACCUGAUGACACUGCCAAUCCCAAACAAGCAGCAUUUGGAGCAGCAGGUUUCAGGAAGCUCUGGAAAAGUACUAGGAGGAAUGCAAAGAUCGCACCCAACCCCCCGCCCACCUCCCUUCAGACAACCUCAAAACACAAAUGCCCCCCCACACGCAGCGCCCAAGGCCAGGUGACAACCUCGUGUGCAGUGCUGCAGGUGCGCAGGGCUCCCAGGCCCCAGGGCCUUUGCACCCGCCAGGCCCUCACCUGGACCAGCUUCCUCUCUCCGCCAAACGCUUGGCAGGCCUGGGCCCUGUGGGGGGUCUCAGUGUCCUGGGAUAAAGAGGGUCUGGCGGUGGACCCCUGUCCAGUGGGUUAUGCACUCGCCUGGCCUGACAAGAAUCGGUUUGUGUGCACGUGUCCUGCCCCAAGUGUGAAUCCCUGGAGGGAAGCGGCCCCUUCGGCCCCACUCGGGCCCAUUCUUGUCUGUUCUCGCUGGAGGGAAGGAGGCUGACAGGACAGAGACGCUUGACCCAGCACAGGUGCCAGCGCCGCCUGGCGCAGCGGCAGGUUCGCGCGCGCCCUCUGCCGGCAGCGGCCGGAAGUGCCCGUGAACCCGGCCCUAACGGCGCGGGCAGGCACCGCACCUGCUUCCUGAGAGCACCUGGCUCCCUCCGACUGCCUCGCUCUGAAUCCGCAGACAGACAGCUCUACUGGCACUCGGAUUCAACAAGUGAGAUCACCUGGCCAAAGUCCGCAGCCCGUGUCCGGGAGGCUCCAGGUGCCUAGCAGGGUCUCUGUAUCCUGCUGCACCCGGCACUCCAGGGCCUACCACUGCAGCCCUCCACAGCACCCCGACACCCCCUUCAGCUCCACCCCUGGGCCCGGGCCCCCAGCCUUCUUUGGCCCAACUGGGACCUCUGACCCCCGUCCUGACUCGGGUCCACCGUCGUUCCCUGCUUCCACAGACCAGGCCCAUGCCUGUCAGCGCCCCCCUCUCCAGCUGGCCGACUCUCCUGCCCUGGCCCACUGCCCACACCCUGCAUCUGGCUUAGUCUUGGUUGCCCUGUCUUCUGUGGCUGAGGGGACUCGAGUCACUCCCAAGUAGCCAGAGAAGCAGGUGGCCCUCCUCCACUGCCCCCUGUCCACACGCUCACCCUCCCAGUGGGCAGUCCAUGCCUCCCAUAUGCAGCUUUCCCUCCUCACUGAGGCCAGAAGACUGGACACCCGAAGGAUCCUUUUAAACCCCCCUCCUCUACCGGACCAAGGUGUGUGCAGUGACAGCGACAAUGGCCGGAAAAGGACAGCAAGUGGUGACAAGUUUCCUCCAGUGCACGUCCCCUACACAAUCCUGUGGGUGCAAAAGGAAAACCCUUCAAUGGAGAAGAGGGAAACAGUGGACCAGGACCUUCGUGACGUAAACUUUUUUUCGGAUACGGAGGAUGUGCUGGUUUUCCUCAGUAAUGAGCAAUAACACUCUAGCUCACUUUGUUUUGCGUCUUAAUGUCUGCAAAUUUGACAACAAUUUUGUCACAACUGAUCUUUCUCUGCUUGUCAUGCUCAGUAGGCACUCCAGCUGUAUGUGUCUGUUUUCACUCAUAGCUGACCAUAGGGCAGGUUAUAUUAACCUUAACUUUGGAGAUCUUCUUUCCCUUGAAGUCACAUACACAGAUAGGAAGAACCUUAAACAUAGGAUACGUUUGGUACAGAUUCAUAAAAACUCCACUUUGUAGUACAUUCUAGAAAUUAUUCUAAACGGGCGUCUUUGGUGGAAGCUCAUCCUAACAGCUUUCAGAUGUCUCUGCAAUUGGCGAAUUGUGAAUUCAAAUGAAAACUCCAGCAGCCACAUAGAAUGACAGGAUUGAAAUAUUCUCAGCAUCAUGGCCGCACGAAUGUUGUCUGUUGUGCUGCUUAAACGCAGGAGUGGAAAGUUGCACCAGAGCUGGGAACACACCUGCACCCAAGUUUCUGGAGCUUCCCCUUGAAACAGAGGGUGUGGCUGAUUCCCACGUAGGUUAUGGCAUGGAUUAAAGGAUCGUGUCUAGAGCCUGCUGUGCCGCACCUGGGCCGACAGAAGAUAUUUCUAGGAGGAGUAUUCGAUCCCUGAUGUUAUGUAGGUUUGUGAGAACAUGGUAAUAAUAGAAACCAAAUGAACUUUUGGUUAAUUUUGUUGCAUAAGAUCCACCCCUUGGGUUGCAGAAUGGGGCAGGGUCAUCGGAGGCCAGCUGCACCAGCAUCAUACAAACCCAGAGUCCUCAGCACCAGAGCCAGCUGGGCUGUAGGGAGGGGCCGAACACUGCAGGACUGGCUGGAAGUCUAAGGACAGCGUGACCCGCAGGCCCCCUCCUCAGCCAGCAUACCCAGGCGACUUUCCCGCCCUCGCUCCUGUAACUGGCGGGAGGUGAUGAGCACAAGGGCCCUCUGGCCUCAGGGACUCCAGGCUCAGUUCCUCCCUGUGCCCCCCACCCUCCAAAAGCUGGUGUCUAAGCACAGGACAGUAGGUCAGCCAAGGACUUUGAGAAGAGAUGGCUCUUCCAGCCCAGCUACCCUGCCGAGGAGCGCACCCUGGGAAACCCUGCCGUGCACAUGAGGCUCCCGGCUGCUCCCGAGGGCAGACAAACAAAGCAAAUAAACACGUGGCUAAACAAACAAAUGAGACUGGCAACACAAGGAAAGUUACAUGGGAAAGGAGAUACGACCACCGUGCAUCAUGUGGCUCUGCUGUGAAUGAUACUUACAGAAUCGCGUUCAUCAAAAUUCUGGCAAAAGAUCAAACCAAUAACUUUUAAGUUAAAAAUCAGUAAAAAGUAGCAUGCUGGUC